AAUGAACGUUGGCGGCGUGGAUUAGGCAUGCAAGUCGUGCGAGAAAUCUCAGCUUGCUGGGAUGGACAGCGGCGAAAGGGAGAGUAAUACGUAGAAAUCUGCCCUCUGGUCUGGGAUAGCGUUGGGAAACCGGCGGUAAUACCAGAUAAAGUCUUCGGACCAAAGGUGUGAUUCCGCCGGAGGAUGAGUCUACGACCUAUUAGCUAGUUGGCGGGGUAAUGGCCCACCAAGGCGACGAUGGGUAGCGGGUGUGAGAGCAUGGCCCGCCUCACUGGGACUGAGACACUGCCCAGACAUCUACGGAUGGCUGCAGUCGAGAAUCUUGUCAAUGGACGAAAGUCUGAACAAGCGACGCCGCGUGCGGGAUGAAGGCCUUCGGGUUGUAAACCGCUGUCGUAAGGGAGCAAAUCUAUUUGGGGUACUCCCCUUUAGUUGAGCGAUCUUAGGAGGAAGACGGGCUAAGUUCGUGCCAGCGCCGCGGUAA
rnacentral:rRNA from 1 species